GACGAACGCUGGCGGCGUGCUUAACACAUGCAAGUCGAACGGAAAGGCCCUGCUUUUGUGGGGUGCUCGAGUGGCGAACGGGUGGGUAACACGUGAGUAACCUGCCCUUGACUUUGGGAUAACUUCAGGAAACUGGGGCUAAUACCGGAUAGGAGCUCCUGCUGCAUGGUGGGGGUUGGAAAGUUUCGGCGGUUGGGGAUGGACUCGCGGCUUAUCAGCUUGUUGGUGGGGUAGUGGCUUACCAAGGCUUUGACGGGUAGCCGGCCUGAGAGGGUGACCGGGCACAUUGGGACUGAGAGACGGCCCAGACGCCUACGGGAGGCAGUGGCGGGGAAUAUUGCACAAUGGGCGGAAGCCUGAUACAGCAACGCCGCGUGCGGGAUGACGGCCUUCGGGUUGUAAACCGCUGUCGCCGGUGACGAAGCGUGAGUGACGGUAAUGGGUAAAGAAGCACCGGCUAACUACGUG
rnacentral:rRNA from 1 species